rnacentral:rRNA from 1 species
GAGCGAUUCAGAGAACUCGUGAAAUAGAUGCGAUGGCAGCUUGCUAUUGCAGAAAAGCCAUCCCAAUCGCUUGCCUCGGUUUCAUCGAGGGAAACGAUGGAGGAUGCAUGACAACUCAAAAUCGGCGCAGUUCCGCGCCAAGGCAAUAUAUCGAAAAACACGGGACCUUCACCGGUUUCAGUGUCGUGGAGUGCACUAGCACACCACACGGAUUGACACGACUCUCGGCAAUGGAUAUCUCGGCUCUCGCAUCGAUGAAGAGCGCAGCGAAAUGCGAUACGUGGUGCGAAUUGCAGAAUCCCGCGAACCAUCGAGUAUUUGAACGCAAGUUGCGCCCGAGGCCAGACGGCCAAGGGCACGUCCGCCUGGGCGUCAAGCAUCGCGUCGCUCCGUGCCAAAUCCAUCCCACCAAUGGGUGUGUCGGCCAAGGCUCGGACGUGCAGAGUGGCUCAUCGUGCCUGUUGGUGCGGCGGGCUAAAGAGUGUGGGUUAUCGUCUCGUUGGUCACGAACAACAAGGGGUGGAUGAAAGCCAUGAGCAAGGCCUAUGUUGUCUCGUGCUGGCCUGAUAAGAGAUGUACCCUUCAGGAGAUCCCAACCCGUGCGCCGUUCUAAAGGCGGUGGCAUG